UUGCCUCAGUAACGGCGAGUGAAGCGGCAACAGCUCAAAUUUUAAAGCCGGCGUCCUCGACGCCCGCGUUGUAAUUUGGAGAGGCAUCUUCGGUUUGGGCGCCAGCCUAUGUUCCUUGGAACAGGACGUCACAGAGGGUGAGAAUCCCGUGCUUGGCUGGCUGUCCCUCUCCAUGUGAAGUGUCUUCGACGAGUCGAGUUGUUUGGGAAUGCAGCUCAAAAUGGGUGGUAAAUUUCAUCUAAAGCUAAAUAUUGGCGGGAGACCGAUAGCGCACAAGUAGAGUGAUCGAAAGAUGAAAAGCACUUUGAAAAUAGAGUUAAAAAGUACGUGAAAUUGUUGAAAGGGAAGCGCUUGAGACCAGACUCGGCCGACGGCGAUCAGCGGCCCUUCUGGGCUGUGCACUCGUCAUCGGUUCGGGCCAGCAUCGGUCGAGACGGCGGGAUAAAGGCCCGAGGAAUGUGGCUCCUCUCGGGGAGUGUUAUAGCCUCGGGCGCAAUGCCGCCCGCCUCGACCGAGGACCGCGCUCUUUUGCUAGGAUGCUGGCGUAAUGGUCUUCAGCGACCCGUCUUGAAACACGGACCAAGGAGUCUAACAUCUAUGCGAGUGUUUGGGUGUCAAACCCUUGCGCGUAAUGAAAGUGAACGGAGGUGGGAACCCCUCCUCUGGGGGGGCGCACCAUCGACCGAUCCUGAUGUCUUCGGAUGGAUUUGAGUAGGAGCAUAGCUGUUGGGACCCGAAAGAUGGUGAACUAUGCCUGAAAUAGGGUGAAGCCAGAGGAAACUCUGGUGGAGGCUCGCAGCGGUUCUGACGUGCAAAUCGAUCGUCAAAUUUGGGUAUAGGGGCGAAAGACUAAUCGAACCAUCUAGUAGCUGGUUCCUG
rnacentral:rRNA from 1 species